UACGGAGGAUCCAAGCGUUAUCCGGAAUCAUUGGGUUUAAAGGGUCCGUAGGCGGUCUUAUAAGUCAGUGGUGAAAUCUCUCCGCUCAACGGGGAAACGGCCAUUGAUACUGUAAGACUUGAAUUAUUGGGAAGUAACUAGAAUAUGUAGUGUAGCGGUGAAAUGCUUAGAUAUUACAUGGAAUACCGAUUGCGAAGGCAGGUUACUACCAAUGGAUUGACGCUGAUGGACGAAAGCAUGGGGAGCGAACAGG
rnacentral:rRNA from 1 species